rnacentral:rRNA from 1 species
GAAUAUUGGACAAUGGGGGGAACCCUGAUCCAGCCAUGCCGCGUGUGUGAAGAAGGCCUUUUGGUUGUAAAGCCCUUUAAGCGAGGAGGAGGCGCCCUUGGUUAAUACCCAAGAUGCUUUGACGUUCCUCGCAGACUAAGCCCCGGCUAACUCUGUGCCAGCAGCCGAGGUAAUACAGAGGGAGCAAGCGUUAAUCGGAUUUACUGGGCGUAAAGCGCGCGUAGGGGGCCAAGUAAGUCAAAUGUGAAAUCCCCGAGCUUAACUUGGGAAUUGCAUUCGAUACUGGCUGGCUAGAGUAUGGGAGAGGAGGGUAGAAUGCCAGGUGUAGCGGUGAAAUGCGUAGAGAUCUGGAGGAAUACCGAUGGCGAAGGCAGCCAUCUGGCCUAAUACUGACACUGAGGUGCGAAAGCAUGGGGAGCAAAC